rnacentral:rRNA from 1 species
CCUACGGGUGGCAGCAGUGAGGAAUAUUGGUCAAUGGGCGCGAGCCUGAACCAGCCACGUAGCGUGAAGGAUGACUGCCCUACGGGUUGUAAACUUCUUUUAUAAAGGAAUAAAGUGAGGCACGUGUGCCUUUUUGUAUGUACUUUAUGAAUAAGGAUCGGCUAACUCCGUGCCAGCAGCCGCGGUAAUACGGAGGAUCCGAGCGUUAUCCGGAUUUAUUGGGUUUAAAGGGAGCGUGGAGUGGUUGUUAAGUCAGUUGUGAAGGUUUGCGGAUCAACCGUAAAAUUGCAAUUGAUACUGGCAGCUGUGAGGACAGUGGAGGUAGGCGGAAUUCGUGGUGUAGCGGUGAAAUGCUUAGAUAUAACGAAGAACUCCGAUUGGGAAGGCAGCCUACUAAACGGCCACUGAGAUUGA